rnacentral:lncRNA from 1 species
GCCAUCGUAGCUUUCUUUUUGAUCUUCUUUAUAGAUUUCUUGAGGAGAAAAUAAUGAAUUUUGAAGUGCCCAGACUUCUUACAUUCAUAACAUAUAGGCAGCUCCUUUUCUUUUUCCUUCUCCUUGCUUGGGUCAUCCUUAGAGAAAGGCUUCCAUCUAAAAAUUUGCUUCUUUUUCCUCAUGAACGUUCUGAAUCUAUGAGUGAUGAGUGUCAUAUCUUCAUCCUUUUCUCCAUCUUCAGAUUCUUUAGUAUCUUCCUCAUCUUAUGCAAUAGAUUUGAGGGUGAUGGUUUUCUUUUUUCUUACUUUUUCUUCAUUAUUUUGCUUCAUAGUCAACUCAUGAGUCAUGAGAGAACCAAGAAGUUCUUUCAGGGAUAGAGCAUUAAGAUUCUUGGCUUUAUGAAUUAUUGUCACUUUUGCCUUCCAAUCUCUAAGAAGUGAUCCGAGGAUAUUUUGAAUAAGUUCACUAUUAGAAUAAGAUUUUUCUAAACUCUUAAGGUCAUUAAUAAUAUCAAUAAAUCUAAUAAAUAUCUCAGUAAUAGUUUCAUUUUGUUCACUUAAACAAUUCAUAUUUAUGCACAAGCAUAUUGAUUUUAGAUUAUUUUACUUUAUUAGUAUCUUUAUGGCUAACCUCUAAUCUACCAUGUAUUUUCUUAGCAAAAAGAUAAGUAGAAAUUCUAUUAAAUUCAUUAGCAUCUAGUAAAAAAUAAAGAACAUUUAUAUCUUUAAUAUUUAAUUAAGCCAUUCCCUUAUCUAGGUCAACCGAAUCUUUUUUGAGUUUGGAUGUGAUGAUGCCAUCUAUUAUGAUUGUGGGUGUGUGUGGGCCAUUGAUUAGGACACUCUAAAGAUUAUAAUCAAAUUCUUGAAUGAAGAUACAUAUGUGUUCUUUCCAAUAUAUAUAGUUGACCCAUUAAAUAAAGGAG